rnacentral:misc_RNA from 1 species
GUUGCCGGCCUCCCAUCAAGGGCGCACCUGCUGCUCUUCAGUCUCCUUGGCACAGUGUGGAGCUGUUGCCCGCGAAUUAACAAAGAACACUCGAGAAUCGCCGCGUAACGAUCGCAGCGAGGGCACCGCCACGUGUGUUGUAGUCUAUUACACAGAUAAGCACAAGUGUUAGAACCCCUCCCCUCUCCCCUGCUGUCGCGAGGAUGGACCCUGCAUCAAGGGUAAGUCUUAUGAACGUGACGGUGCUUACCUGCAUUUUGGUCCUUUACAUUGCACACGACGCAGGCUUCCGCUUCUGGAUGACGCGCAGCGAUACUGUCCCACUCACAGCAGCCCUCGUGCACGACACUAAGGUACUGCAACAGUACGGCGACGUAGGUUUGGCCUAUGAUGCCGCCAUCGGGCACGUGCGGACCCCUCCUCUCCAACUUUACUCCAUCAAUGCUGAGCGCUUCGCCGCCAACUACACUGCACCGAUGAGGGCCGCCGCUGCCGAGACCGCUAGCCAAAACGAUGCGCCACGCCCAAGCUCCGCACCGUCUGCCACCGACAACACCUUUUCCGAUGCACUUCCAAUGGCAGCGGUGGUGGUGGAGAGCACGUGGCUCACCCCUGACCAGGACGCUGUCUCCUCCGUGUACGCGCAGCGGCUGCUGGAAGGGUACCGUUACGCUCUGCUCAGCGGCGCACCGUGGCUACUGCUCUCCGGUUCUGCAGCGGAGGCGUCAGUGGGACUGCAGUUUCUGCGGCUCCUGCCCAACCCAGCCGAGAGGAUCUUCCCGGACUCUGUGCUAGAGCGGUGGCCUCUGCCGCUCGUCACCGCGGCACUGCAGCUGCGCGAAUCAAUGGCACCGUAUGAGACUCUUGGAGCGUGGGUGCACGGCGCGGGCACGAGACCGCUCAACUCCUUCCCCGCCUCCUCGAUGACUUCACGAGCGAGCCAAGGGCAGGAUGCUCAUCAAAGCCCGGUGCCGGGUCAGGCGUCUCUGCAGUCGUCCCUCAGCCAGCUGCUCUCGGCCUACUCCUUGGCAGUGACAAGCGCGGGCCAUGUACGCCCAGCCUCGCUCAUCCUGGGUGCGGAGUGGAUGCGGCGCAUGGAUGCCCAGCACCGGAGCAGCAGCUCCGCCACCAACGUUAACGGUGCCACGAGAGCUGCGGCCGACGGCCACGCGGCGCCUGAGCAGCCACGCGUGACGGUGUACGCGACAAAGCCUGACGCCGACGAUGGCGACGAUGAUCUGAAAAUCGAAAAGAACGAGGAUGGAGGUGCCUCCAAGGACGCGGCCAGCGCUCCCUGGGAGCAGCCGCGGGUGCUCGAGCUUCACGUGAACAACACUUCCACAGCGGUGCACGUGACUGUGCCUGGCAUGGUGAUGAUCAGCGACGCGAACGCCAACAAGCGUGCUCAGCACGUGGCGAGGGCAGUUCAGCAGCUGGUGGAACUGACACUUGUGCACCGCUAUGCCGCUCGCAGCUCCAGCAGCUCCAGUGCGCCAAUGGACGCAGAGAGGGAGGUGGGGUGGUGGUGGUGGCUCGGUAGGCCCUACGGCGUGACGGUCAUCGCUGGCAGGUGGGAACAGCAGCGUGUCAAGCUUCUCUACAUGAAGGCCUUCCGUGAGGCCGUGGCUGACUCGCAGGAAGGGCUGCGAAAAGCAGUGCAGCUGCUCCAUCAAUCUCGCUGUCAGUUUGAAAGACCUCUGCUGCCACUGCCAUGCCACGGCAUUCGCGGUCCACAACUCCCACCAUCAGCGCUGCCUUUCAGCACCGCGGUGCCGGCGCGCUCGCGCAUCUUCGUGCUGCCCCCGCCAUAUGAGGAUCUGCAGAGCGUCCAGCCGAAGCCGGAGUGGCUCAACUACACAGGUGAGCUGCCCGCGUCCAUCAACGCAGAGGCGUCGCGUGUGGCGAAGCUGCUGGGUCGCGUGAGUUUCUUCCUGUACUUGAACUACCGCCGGUGGAUGGACUGGUUUCUGGCGUCGCUGCCGGUGGGGUCUUACCAGGAUCACUUUGUGCUCAUAUCGGUGCUGAUGUCCGACUUCGCCGAGCACCGCAUCAGCUGGAUGGAUGUGCUACACCUCCGCUAAGGCGGAGGACGAGGGGCGAGGAAGGUAGGUUAGAGACCUCGUCUGCCUUCUCAUCCUGCGCCGUAUAACGUGGCGGUGUGAGGUAGCCUGUGUGCAUGCCUGUUUAGGUGUGUCUUGGCAGCACUGUAGCUGCUGAGUGCGUGGGCGACUUCUCAGAUGAUGGGCUGCUUCAUCAAAUAACGGCAAGGAAAGGGUGGACUCAAGCGAAUAGAUGGUGCUUCGCUCCCAUACCGCGCAUGUAUGCGUGCGCCGGUGGAGGACAGGGCGUUGUUCGUUUAACGGACCCCAUCCUUUGCAUGGGGAAGGGUGGGGGGGCGUUGAGGAAGGGGGGUCUCCUUAUGCUGCGCAGACAGACACCGAUGUGCUCAUGGGGGAGCCCCCGCCUCUCCUCCCCAUCGUUCAGUGUAACUUCAUGGCCAGUGAAACGAGUGCAGGGGUGCGCAUGUUGGCGGUGGAAGAAAUGGAAGGAUGAAGGCGGUAUUUUAACCGUCUGCUGACCAGGUGCAGCGCGUGUGUGCGCCUCUCUCAACUUUCGUCAGCACGCGCCCCCUCAUUGAGGGCCGUCGCUCUCCGCGGUCUCUGAUCACCAAAUGACCUGCUUCCUCUGUCUCCGCCUCUCCCCACCUACCCACCCCCACCAUCCUCCCUCGGCAACUCGUCCAUUCGACGCAUACAUAU